AGAGUUUGAUCCUGGCUCAGAACGAACGCUGGCGGCGCGCUUAACACAUGCAAGCCGAGCGGGGGGCUUCGGCCCCCAGCGGCGGACGGGUGAGUAACGCGUGGGAACCUGCCCUGGGGUUUGGGAUAGCAGCGGGAAACUGCUGGUAAGACCGGAUGUGUCCUUUUGAGGAGAACCUGGGAUGGGCCCGCGUCCGAUUAGCUAGUUGGUGGGGUAACGGCCCACCAAGGCUGCGAUCGGUAGCCGGUCUGAGAGGAUGAUCGGCCACACUGGGACUGAGACACGGCCCAGACUCCUACGGGAGGCAGCAGUGGGGAAUCUUGGACAAUGGGGGCAACCCUGAUCCAGCGACGCCGCGUGGGUGAUGAAGGCCUUCGGGUUGUAAAGCCCUUCUCCUGGGGACGAUGAUGACGGUACCCGGGGAAUAAGCACCGGCUAACUCCGUGCCAGCAGCCGCGGUAAUUC
rnacentral:rRNA from 1 species